UACGGGGGGGGCAAGCGUUGUUCGGAAUUACUGGGCGUAAAGGGCUCGUAGGUGGCCAACUAAGUCAGACGUGAAAUCCCUCGGCUUAACCGGGGAACUGCGUCUGAUACUGGAUGGCUUGAGUUCGGGAGAGGGAUGCGGAAUUCCAGGUGUAGCGGUGAAAUGCGUAGAUAUCUGGAGGAACACCGGUGGCGAAGGCGGCAUCCUGGACCGAUACUGACACUGAGGAGCGAAAGCCAGGGUAGCGAACGGG
rnacentral:rRNA from 1 species